rnacentral:rRNA from 1 species
AUUGAACGCUGGCGGCAUGCCUUACACAUGCAAGUCGAACGGCAGCACGGGAGCAAUCCUGGUGGCGAGUGGCGAACGGGUGAGUAAUAUAUCGGAACGUGCCCAGUCGUGGGGAUAACGUAGCGAAAGCUACGCUAAUACCGCAUACGAUCUAUGGAUGAAAGCGGGGGAUCGCAAGACCUCGGCGCGAUUGGAGCGGCCGAUAUCAGAUUAGGUAGUUGGUGAGGUAAAGGACUCACCAAGCCGACGAUCUGUAGCUGGUCUGAGAGGACGACCAGCCACACUGGGACUGAGACA